CGACCACCUGCUGCUCCAACAGCUGCAAGCUGCCGGCGGGGAGGAGAAAGCAAACCUGACAAAGUCUGCCGAUCACUGAGCACUGGCUGUCCAGGCUGACCUCCCCGACUCCUUCCAACAACCCCGCUUCACAGACAGGGAUGUAAGGGUUGGAUAACUAAAGGCAUGACACGGACUCAUAACAGGACAGGCGACCACGCUCAAGGGAAAGAAGGAACCAUGCAAACCCAGCCGCCCAGUCCAGACCUGCUUCAGGCUCAGCUCUGAGCUCAACAGCAGCCAGGAUACAGCUUUAAUCCCAGGGCGGCUGCUUCUCCAAACACCCAGGCUGUUUCCACCCCCUGCACCCACUUUGCGCCACCUCAGCUGUGCCCUGUCCCUCGAAUGCCACCCCGAGACAUCUGUCCUGCAUACCUUCUUCAAGGGCCCCCUCUUCUGAGAAGCCCUCCCUGACCACACUCCAGACCACACCGUGAAAACCACCACCUGUGCUGUGAGUUUUCUCUGUGCCCGACACCAAGCUGCUGCCUCCGGGGGCAUCGUGCCGUGCGGCCCUCACAACAGGCUUCCCAGCCUGGAACUCUCUCACCCACUGUGUAGGUGAGAGACUGGGGGACAGAGAGGUAACCUCAGCCCAGGUGGCAGAGCUGGGUGACGGCGGAGGCAGACGGGAACGCAGCCAGUCUAACCGCUCCAGAACCUGACUCCCCCUGGACUGAGAGCUUCUUGAAGGCCAAGGUGAUAUCCCAUCCAUGCUUGCCUCCUGACGCGUGAUACAUAGUAGAUCCUCAGUUAGUGUUUGAACCAUAGUCUGUGGGGCCAGGAGGGGGCUGAACCGCUGGCUGUGGGGCUGACUCUGUCAUGGAGAUGGGCCUGACUGCAAUCUCAUUUACGAAAGUGAGAACCAAGGCUCAGAGAUGUUAAGUGACUUGCACAAAGCCGCACAG